UGUUUGCAGCCGGGACUCUAAUCGCAGACGCACGUCGUUCAUGUAGCAACUUUGGACCACAUGGGAAAAUGUAAAUUCAACGAAAAUUGGCUGUCCAACCAAGUUUUAUCUUCACGGCUGAAAGCGGUACCAGGCAGUGUACGAGGCACCGGUGUAUUUUGUGCAAGAAAUGUUUCAAACUCGGCACGAUGGGAGUGAAGGCCGUGGAGUCAUACAUGCACAGCGCAAAACAUAAAGCCUCGAAAUCAAGCUGCCAUCAAACGCCGGGUAUUUCCCAGUUCUGUUCUACUCUCGUCUCCACCCCCAGCCCCGAUAUCAACAACCAGGACCGCAGCAUCGCAUCUCCGGACUAUGUUCGGGUGGACGCCUACACUGAAAGCACAGGUACUGUGGUCUCUGAACUCCGUGACAAAACACCAAUCAUACCAGUCAAAUGAGGGAGUUGGAGGCUUUUUCCGUGCUGUGUUCCCAGACUCUGACAUUGCCCACUCGUUUGCGUGUGGUUCGGUGCAAGACGGCCUACAUCAGCAGGUUUGGAUUAGCCCCGUACAUUUCAGAGCAGCUUGUUGCGGAUGCUAACAAGGACGCGUUUGUUUUAAUGUUUGGCGAGAGCCUCAACCAGACCACGAAAACAAAACAACUGGAUCUGCAUAUCCGCUAUUGGUGCGAAGAUCACGUCCAGUCAAGAUAUUCGGGGUCGCAGUUGAUGGGACAUGGAACAGCUGAGGAUUUACUACGCCAUUUCAAAGAAGGUGCCAAGGACCUGGAUAGGCGUAAGCCGUUGUCCGCCUCCAUGGAUGGACCAAACGUUAAUUGGAAGUUCCUGGAGCUACUGCAGCAAGAACAUAUUGCAACUGAAGGAAUUUUGCCUGGAGGUGUGGUCAAAGAAAAAAAACUUUUUCACUGGACAAAAAAGUCAUGUUUUAUGUUAAAAUAAACAUUUGGGUAAAAUUGUCCCUAACCCUA